GUAGGGUGCAGGCGUUAAUCGGAAUUACUGGGCGAAAAGGGUGCGCAGGCGGCCGAGUGUGUGAGGCGUGAAAGCCCGGGGCUUAACCCCGGAAUUGCACCUCAAACUACACGGCUAGAGCAUUGGAGAGGGUAGCAGAAUUCAUGGUGUAGCAGUGAAAUGCGUAGAUAUCAUGAGGAAUACCAGAGGCGAAGGCGGCUACCUGGACAAUUGCUGACGCUCAGGCACGAAAGCGUGGGGAGCAAAAGGGAUUAGAUACCCUGGUAGUCCACGCCCUAAACGAUGUCGACUGGUUGUUGGGGGUUUGACACUCUCAGUAACGAAGCUAACGCGUGAAGUCGACCGCCUGGGGAGUACGGCCGCAAGGUUA
rnacentral:rRNA from 1 species